rnacentral:lncRNA from 1 species
CCCCAAGUAUUCAAUUCGUUAUAGUCAAUAUAUCGACAUUUUUGGGAUAAUAUAUAUCCUUCACGCGCAUGCAGUAUUUGAGCAAUUUAUAAUAUAGCGAUAUGAAACUGAAAAGGAAUGAAAAAUUCUGAGCCUCCAUCCCUCUCCUCUCCGUUUCAUCCCUGAUGUCAGACCUGCAUUUCAGUCUCAAUCUCCAACGUAACUUACGCACGAGGAUUUUCUUUUCAGACUCCUUUUUGAGCAAACUACAUAUGUUCUGAAUAUUUUAUUGUUUUGGGCUUUCAUUUGAUUAUAAACUUUGGCUCUCGUCCACUGACUAUAGUGCAAGAGUUGUUGAACUGACCUGGUAUCAAACUAAAUUUGCUUUGGUUGGUGACAAGUAAAUUAUUAGAAAAAAGACUUGCUGAGUAGUUGUUUUGUUUCCUGGGGUUUGUCCCUACUCUGCAAGGUCAUUUUCUAACAAUUUACUUGUCACCAACCAAAGCAAGUCUUUUUCUAAUAAUUUGCUUGUUUCUUGGGGUUUCUCCCUACUCAGCAAGUCUUUUUCUAAUUUUUUUUUUUCUGUUAGACACAAAAUUGUCACAAAUAAUUCAUGCAAACGUCAA